GCUAUAUAGUACAAGAAUGCCCAUCUCUAACCUUAUCUACUGCUGUUCCUGCCUGGAGCUGGCUGACCACUUGCUAUGGCCAUCAAGGGACCCCAAGCCAUCUGCUGUGUUCAGGCAGUGUCAGUAUAAUACGGAGCUGACCCUUCAAGAGUGACAGGACUGCACAGCUGGACAUGCCUCUCCCAGGGAGGCAGGAAAGUCUGACUUCUGACCCCUGGGGAAGCAGACUCCAACCCAAAUGAAAGUUUGUAUUACUCUAACCAAACACUGCUGCAUAAAACCAAAUAGAAGAGUAUACAGCUAUUAUAAGAAGAUACUUAACAUUUCACCUCAGAAGAGAGGACCUUUAUUCUGUGUUGGAAGCAAGAAAAGCCAAAGGCUUGAGGGCCUACAAGAGACACUUCAGCUGUUAU